UACAGAGGUCCCAAGCGUUGUUCGGAUUCACUGGGCGUAAAGGGUGCGUAGGUGGUGGGGUAAGUCGGAUGUGAAGGCUCGGAGCUUAACUCCGAAAUUGCAUUGGAAACUACCCUGCUAGAGGGUCGGAGGGGGGACUGGAAUACUUGGUGUAGCAGUGAAAUGCGUAGAUAUCAAGUGGAACACCAGUGGCGAAGGCGAGUCCCUGGACGACUCCUGACACUGAGGCACGAAAGCUAGGGGAGCAAACAGG
rnacentral:rRNA from 1 species